rnacentral:rRNA from 1 species
AGAGUUUGAUCCUGGCUCAGAUUGAACGCUGGCGGCAGGCCUAACACAUGCAAGUCGAGCGGAUGAAGGAGCUUGCUCCCUGAUUCAGCGGCGGACGGGUGAGUAAUGCCUAGGAAUCUGCCUGGUAGUGGACAACGUCUCGAAAGGGACGCUAAUACCGCAUACGUCCUACGGGAGAAAGUGGGGGAUCUUCGGACCUCACGCUAUCAGAUGAGCCUAGGUCGGAUUAGCUAGUUGGUGAGGUAAUGGCUCACAGGCGACGAUCCGUAACUGGUCUGAGAGGAUGAUCAGUCACACUGGAACUGAGACACGGUCCAGACUCCUACGGGAGGCAGCAGUGGGGAAUAUGACAAUGGGCGAAAGCCUGAUCCAGCCAUGCCGCGGUGUGAAGAAGGUCUUCGGAUUGUAAAGCACUUAGUUGGGAGGAAGGGCAUUAACCUAAUACGUUAGUGUUUUGACGUUACCGACAGAUAAGCACCGGCUAACUCUGUGCCAGCAGCCGCGGUAAUACAGAGGGUGCAAGCGUAAUCGGAAUUACUGGGCGUAAAGCGCGCGUAGGUGGUUUGUUAAGUUGGAUGUGAAAUCCC